AGCUGUCCUGAUAAAAAGGUAAAUUAAGCCACAGUUGUGUCAUAUCACACCUUAAACAUUGGCACAGUACGCUCAUGCUUACCUGUACAUACUGUCCCAUUUCCCAGCAUGCCUUUGGGGCAUGGGCCGCAGCCAUAGGAGCCGAAGCUGUUGAAGCACUGGACUCCUGGGAAACACGGCUUCCUUUCACACUCAUUGAUAUCUUCCAGGCAUGUUACACCUGCAACAACAAUAAACACACAGGGACUAGUUUCUCCAAUCCUAAACCAUACCUGUCAUAUGUGCUGGAAGAGAAAGAAAAGACGCAAGUAAAACAUGUGGACUUAAAGUACAGUACUGGAGUAUAUGUACUUAGUUACUUUCCACCACUGCCUGUGAUUGAUCAUCUACGCCUCCGAAUGUGUAACUUCUUACCUCUCAGCCCCGCAGGACACUGGCAGCGGUACCCGCCGCCGGCCGUGUUGAUGCAUCUGCCGACCGUGCACGGCGCUGAGAGACAUUCGUCCACGUCCUCGCCGCAGAGAUCGCCCUGCGUUCCCUCGGGACACACACACAGUGAAGCUGCUCUGGGCGUUGCACUCGUCCGACAGCGUAAAGAGAAAGGAUUGGGGCCCCCCCCUGUCCCCAGGGAGCGAUGGGACCCUCCAGAUGAGGAGGCCGGCGGGGGAGAGGAAGGCCCCCUGCGGCCCCUCCUCCAGCUGGAAGAGGAGCGCUGAGCCCUCGGGGUCUGAUGCUGCCAACUGGAAGACAAAGUUCUCUCCGGCGAACGUCCGCAGGCGGCUCUGGGGCCGGAGGAACGCCGGCGGCUCGUUGACUGGAGACACAGGAUCAAAACUGCGGUUAAACGACAGGUCAGGGCAUGAUGGGAAACUUAAACCUCCGCUCCUUUGAUCUGCUGAUGGGGACAAACAGGACCGCAGCUGGACGGCUACCACGACCAGGUGAAUUUGGAGGUGUCCGGGUCACAGAGGAGGCAGGGGCUGCUGGGGCUGGGGACUCGGUCUGCGAAACACAUCCCCUCGAUGUUACAAGUCCUCUCCUGGGAACCACAAACGGAGAGCAUCAACAGGUAAUUCAGUUUCAGCACAUGCAGAUGUCUCUGUGUGAUUCUGCAGCAUUUGCUCCAGGUAAGGUGACAUUUUGUCCCGUCUCCAUUCCCAUAAAUAGCAGUUCCAGUAACACUUUUUUAUUGUAUGCGAGUUACCUUCUGGAGGGAGCCUGGGAGUACGCCCAACCGGUCUACAUGUGUUUUGUGGAUCUGGAAAAGGCGUAUGA